UACGAAGGGGGCUAGCGUUGUUCGGAAUUACUGGGCGUAAAGCGCACGUAGGCGGAUAUUUAAGUCAGGGGUGAAAUCCCGGGGCUCAACCCCGGAACUGCCUUUGAUACUGGGUAUCUCGAGUCCGAGAGAGGUGAGUGGAAUUCCGAGUGUAGAGGUGAAAUUCGUAGAUAUUCGGAGGAACACCGGUGGCGAAGGCGGCAUCCUGGACCAUUACUGACACUGAAAAGCGAAAGCCAGGGGAGCAAACGGG
rnacentral:rRNA from 1 species